rnacentral:rRNA from 1 species
AACGAACGCUGGCGGCAGGCCUAACACAUGCAAGUCGAGCGAAGCCUUCGGGCUUAGCGGCGGACGGGUGAGUAACGCGUGGGAACGUGCCCUUUGGUACGGAAUAGCCCCGGGAACCUGGGGGUAUUACUGUAUGUGGUCGAGAGACGAAAGAUUUAUGGCCAAAGGAUCGGCCCGCGGUGGAUUCGGUAGUUGGUGGGGUAAUGGCCUACCAAGGCGACGAUCCGUAGCUGGUUUGAGAGGAAGAUCAGCCACACUGGGACUGAGAAACGGCUCAGACUCCUACGGGAGGCAGCAGUGGGGAAUCUUAGACAAUGGGGGAAACCCUUGUCUAGCCAUGCCGCGGGAUCGGUGAAGGCCUUAGGGUUGUAAAGAUCUUUCAGUGGGGAAGAUAAUGACUGUGCCCACAGAAGAAGCCCCGGCUAACUACGUGCCAGCAGCCGCCGCAGUAA